UACGGGGGGGGUAAGCGUUGUUCGGAAUUACUGGGCGUAAAGGGCUCGUAGGCGGCCAACUAAGUCGGACGUGAAAUCCCUCAGCUUAACUGGGGAACUGCGUCCGAUACUGGAUGGCUUGGAUUUGGGAGAGGGAUGCGGAAUUCCCGGUGUAGCGGUGAAAUGCGUAGAUAUCUGGAGGAACACCGGUGGCGAAGGCGGCAUCCUGGACCGGCAUUGACGCUGAGGCGCGAAAGCCAGGGGAGCAAACGGG
rnacentral:rRNA from 1 species